AACGGGUGGUAAUGCCGGAUGCUCCAUCACACCGCAUGGUGUGUUGGGAAAGCCUUUGCGGCAUGGGAUGGGGUCGCGUCCUAUCAGCUUGAUGGCGGGGUAACGGCCCACCAUGGCUUCGACGGGUAGCCGGCCUGAGAGGGCGACCGGCCACAUUGGGACUGAGAUACGGCCCAGACUCCUACGGGAGGCAGCAGUGGGGAAUAUUGCACAAUGGGCGCAAGCCUGAUGCAGCGACGCCGCGUGAGGGAUGGAGGCCUUCGGGUUGUAAACCUCUUUUGUUAGGGAGCAAGGCAUUUUGUGUUGAGUGUACCUUUCGAAUAAGCACCGGCUAACUACGUGCCAGCAGCCGCGGUAAUACGUAGGGUGCAAGCGUUAUCCGGAAUUAUUGGGCGUAAAGGGCUCGUAGGCGGUUCGUCGCGUCCGGUGUGAAAGUCCAUCGCUUAACGGUGGAUCCGCGCCGGGUACGGGCGGGCUUGAGUGCGGUAGGGGAGACUGGAAUUCCCGGUGUAACGGUGGAAUGUGUAGAUAUCGGGA
rnacentral:rRNA from 1 species